AACUAACGCUGGCGGCGUGCCUAACACAUGCAAGUCGUACGAGAAAGCCGGCUUCGGCUGGUGAGUAAAGUGGCGCACGGGUGAGUAACGCGUGGAUAAUCUGCCCUUAAGUGUGGAAUAACGUACCGAAAGGUGCGCUAAUACCGCAUAAUGCCUGGCAACACAAGUUGUCCGGCCAAAGAAGGCCUCUGUUUACAAGCUUUCGCUUCAGGAUGAGUCCGCGUACCAUUAGCUUGUUGGUGGGGUAAUGGCCUACCAAGGCUGCGAUGGUUAGCUGGUCUGAGAGGAUGAUCAGCCACACUGGAACUGAGACACGGUCCAGACUCCUACGGGAGGCAGCAGUGAGGAAUAGUUGCGCAAUGGGGGCAACCCUGACGCAGCAACGCCGCGUGAGUGAGGAAGGUUUUCGGACUGUAAAGCUCUGUCGAGCGGGAAGAAGUGUACCAUGGCUAAUAUCCAUGAUAUUUGACGGUUACCGCUAGAGG
rnacentral:rRNA from 1 species